GACGAACGCUGGCGGCGUGCCUAAUACAUGCAAGUCGAACGGGAAUUUUGAAGAGCUUGCUCUUUAAAAUUCUAGUGGCGGAUGGGUGAGUAACACGUAGGCAACCUACCUGUAAGACUGGGAUAACUCCGGGAAACCGGAGCUAAUACCGGAUAGUACAGAAGACCUCCUGGUCUUCUGCGGAAAGGACACGAUCCACUUACAGAUGGGCCUGCGGCGCAUUAGCUAGUUGGUAGGGUAAUGGCCUACCAAGGCAACGAUGCGUAGCCGACCUGAGAGGGUGAACGGCCACACUGGGACUGAGACACGGCCCAGACUCCUACGGGAGGCAGCAGUAGGGAAUCUUCCGCAAUGGACGAAAGUCUGACGGAGCAACGCCGCGUGAGUGAUGAAUGUCUUCGGAUUGUAAAACUCUGUUGUCAGGGAAGAACACCUGGGAUGGACUCCCAGCUUGACGGUACCUGACGAGAAAGCCCCGGCUAACUACGUGC
rnacentral:rRNA from 1 species